rnacentral:lncRNA from 1 species
GGGCUCUCGAAAAAUCAUUCUAAGAGAUAAAUUAAAAGAGUAAUCUGUAAUAAGGGGAAUAAUCUGUAAUAAGCAUUCCAACUCAGAAAAAAACUGAAUAUAUGUAAUACAUACAAACUCCUGAGAAGAAAGGUCGAAGCACAAGAAGGGUCUCAUGUAUAGCAGCCUGUUGAGAAAAAUGAAGAGCCCUGUAAUCCUGAGGAGGUGGCUUAAUCCAAAGAGAGAUGCUCCAGGUCCUGUGCACAUGAAAGAUUUGCCUGCUUCUGCCCAUCUAGGAGCUUACUUCCUGAAGCCUUCAGGAGGCAGGAGGCUAAAUGAGUUUCUCAGGACAAUCUAAUCAUAUCCUGACAGGGAGAAAAAAAUC